GAGCCUGGGAGGACCUGGGAGAACCUGGGGACAACCUGGGAGAACCUGGGAGAACCUGGGGACAACCUGGGAGAACCUCAGGACAAUGCUGGGAGAAGUUUUGGGGUCUCCAUGGGUUCCUCCCACCCCAGAGACUCCAUAACUGCAUCUGAGAACCUGGGAGAACCUGGGAGAACCUGGGGACAACCUGGGAGAACCUGGGAGAACCUCAGGACAAUGCUGGGAGAAGUUUUGGGGUCUCCGUGGGUUUGUGAGCCCCCAGAGACCCCAGAACCACGUCAAGAUUCCUUCCAGAAGGUCCCACAUUGGUUCUUCCAAACCCCCCUGAGAUGUGGCCACCACAAAUUUCCCGUGUCCUUGACAUCCCACCAGAAUUUUUGAGGUGUCCAUGGGUUCCUCACCCCCCAGAGACCCCAUAAUGACAUCAGGAGCUGUUCCAGAGUGUCCCCAUGGUUCUCCACAAACCCCCCUGAGAUGUGGCCACCACAAAUUCCCACCCUUCCCCUCA